rnacentral:rRNA from 1 species
UAGAACAUGGCGUUAAUGCUCUGAAUCCCAUUAUAACUCCGCAGUUAAGCGCACUUGGUCUAGAGUAGUAUUAGGAUGGGUGACCUCUUGGGAAGUCCUAGUGUUUUAC